rnacentral:rRNA from 1 species
GAUGAACGCUGGCGGCGUGCCUAAUACAUGCAAGUCGAGCGAACAGACGAGGAGCUUGCUCCUCUGACGUUAGCGGCGGACGGGUGAGUAACACGUGGAUAACCUACCUAUAAGACUGGGAUAACUUCGGGAAACCGGAGCUAAUACCGGAUAAUAUAUUGAACCGCAUGGUUCAAUAGUGAAAGACGGUUUUGCUGUCACUUAUAGAUGGAUCCGCGCCGCAUUAGCUAGUUGGUAAGGUAACGGCUUACCAAGGCAACGAUGCGUAGCCGACCUGAGAGGGUGAUCGGCCACACUGGAACUGAGACACGGUCCAGACUCCUACGGGAGGCAGCAGUAGGGAAUCUUCCGCAAUGGGCGAAAGCUUGACGGAGCAACGCCGCGUGAGUGAUGAAGGUCUUCGGAUCGUAAAACUCUGGUAUUAGGGAAGAACAAAUGUGUAAGUAACUAUGCACGUCUUGACGGUACCUAAUCAGAAAGCCACGGCUAACUACGUG